rnacentral:rRNA from 1 species
UACAGGGGGGGCAAGCGUUGUUCGGAAUUACUGGGCGUAAAGGGUUCGUAGGUGGCCAACUUAGUCAGACGUGAAAUCCCUCAGCUUAACUGGGGAACUGCGUCUGAUACUGGAUGGCUUGAGUGCAGGAGAGGAACGCGGAAUUCCAGGUGUAGCGGUGGAAUGUGUAGAUAUCAGGAAGAACAUCGGUGGCGAAGGCGGCUUGCUGGGCCAUUACUGACGCUGAGACACGAAAGCGUGGGGAGCAAACGGG